GACGAACGCUGGCGGCGUGCCUAAUACAUGCAAGUAGAACGCUGAAGGAGGAGCUUGCUUCUCUGGAUGAGUUGCGAACGGGUGAGUAACGCGUAGGUAACCUGCCUGGUAGCGGGGGAUAACUAUUGGAAACGAUAGCUAAUACCGCAUAAGAGUAGAUGUUGCAUGACAUUUGCUUAAAAGGUGCAAUUGCAUCACUACCAGAUGGACCUGCGUUGUAUUAGCUAGUUGGUGAGGUAACGGCUCACCAAGGCAACGAUACAUAGCCGACCUGAGAGGGUGAUCGGCCACACUGGGACUGAGACACGGCCCAGACUCCUACGGGAGGCAGCAGUAGGGAAUCUUCGGCAAUGGACGGAAGUCUGACCGAGCAACGCCGCGUGAGUGAAGAGGGUUUUCGGAUCGUAAAGCUCUGUUGUAAGAGAAGAACGAGUGUGAGA
rnacentral:rRNA from 1 species